GGUGAGAGGGAAGGUGAGAGAGAGGGAGGGAGGGUGAGAGGGAGGGAUGGAGGGAGGGAGGAAGCAUAACCAGGUGUGACCCAUCAUGAUCUGAGAUGUCCUCUGUGGAGAUGCUGUCCAUGCUUUCAGACUGUGUUUGUGUGUCGCGCUCUAACUUGUUGCAGAGACGACUUGACGAAUGGGAGGGAACAGAUGAUCUGACGGACUGUAAGUAAUCUGACACAGGACGGACAUUUCCUGGUCGGCGGCUCACAGGAGGAGUUUUAGCCCUGAUCUGAUGAAGCUGGUAGCUUCAGGGACCGAUAAAGCGCUGGCACAUAAAAGCUUUUCUGCUUCUCUUCAUUCGGGUUGUUCUCAUUGAGAUAACAUCUCCUUUACUAAGCACUAGUCAACCUCAG
rnacentral:lncRNA from 1 species